rnacentral:rRNA from 1 species
GAUGAACGCUAGCGGCAGGCUUAACACAUGCAAGUCGAGGGGCAGCACAGGUGGCAACACCGGGUGGCGACCGGCGGAUGGGUGCGUAACGCGUAUGCAACCUACCAUUGAUUGGGGCAUAGCCCGAAGAAAUUCGGAUUAAUACUCCAUAAUAUUCAUCAAAGGCAUCUUUUAUGAAUUAAAGCUUUUGCGAUCAAUGAUGGGCAUGCGUGACAUUAGUUAGUUGGUGAGGUAACGGCUCACCAAAACGAUGAUGUCUAGGGGUUCUGAGAGGAUUAUCCCCCACACUGGUACUGAGACACGGACCAGACUCCUACGGGAGGCAGCAGUGAGGAAUAUUGGUCAAUGGACGCAAGUCUGAACCAGCCAUGCCGCGUGCAGGAUGACGGCCCUAUGGGUUGUAAACUGCUUUUCCACGGGAAGAACCCUCCGACGUGUCGGAGACUGACGGUACCGUGGGAAUAAGCAUCGGCUAACUCCGUGCC